AAUAGAUACCCUGGUAGUCCUAGCCGUAAACGAUGGACACUAGGUGUUGGUGGUAUCAACCCCGCCAGUGCCGUAGCUAACGCAUUAAGUGUCCCGCCUGGGGGAGUACGGCCGCAAGGCUAAAACUCAAAGGAAUUGACGGGGGGCCCGCACAAGCAGCGGAGCGUGGGGGUUUUAAUUCGAUGCAACACGAAGAACCUUACCUGGUCUUGACAUCCAUGGAACCCUGCAGAGAUGCGGGGGUGCCGUAAGGAACCAUGAGACAGGUGCUGCAUGGCUGUCGUCAGCUCGUGUCGUGAGAUGUUGGGUUAAGUCCCGCAACGAGCGCAACCCUUGUCCUUAGUUGCCAUCAUUUAGUUGGGAACUCUAAGGAGACCGCCGGUGACAAACCGGAGGAAGGUGGGGAUGACGUCAAGUCAUCAUGGCCUUUAUGACCAGGGCUACACACGUGCUACAAUGGUAGAUACAGAGGGAAGCCGAACGCGCGAGCGGGAGCUAAUCCCAGAAAAUCUAUCGUAGUUCCGGAUUGGAGU
rnacentral:rRNA from 1 species